rnacentral:misc_RNA from 1 species
UUUCCGUAGGUGAACCUGCGGAAGGAUCAUUAUUGAGUGAACUUGGUGUGGUUGUAGCUGGCCCUCUCGUCGGGGGCAUGUGCACACCCGCCAUCUUUAUCUCUCCACCUGUGCACAUCUUGUAGACCUGGAUAGACUUUCCGAGGCAACUCGGUCGGGAGGACUGCUGUGCGUCACUGCCGGCUUUCCUUGCAUAUCUAGGCCUAUGUUUUCAUAUACCCCAUAGUAUGUAACAGAAUGUAUCAUUGGGCCUCGUGCCUAUAAACUAUAUACAACUUUCAGCAACGGAUCUCUUGGCUCUC